rnacentral:rRNA from 1 species
UACAGAGGGUGCAAACGUUGCUCGGAAUUAUUGGGCGUAAAGAGCGUAUAGGCGGCCAGGUAGGUCUGGUGUGAAAACUCGAGGCUUAACCUCGAGAUGUCAUCGGAAACCAUCUGGCUAGAGUCCGGAAGAGGAGAGUGGAAUUCCUGGUGUAGCGGUGAAAUGCGCAGAUAUCAGGAAGAACACCAAUGGCGAAAGCAGCUCUCUGGGACGGUACUGACGCUGAGACGCGAAAGCGUGGGGAGCGAACAGG